AAGUUUUCUUUAUUGGGGUUGCGGACAUAUCAUAACGAAGAGGUAUCGUAAUUGAAGAGGUUUGGAAAGACCCACCACAGAAGGUAAUAGUCCUGUAUGUUAAACGAGAAGACUUCAGAUAUGAUCCAGAGUACCACGGGACACGUGAAACCCUGUGGGAAGCAGGAGGGACCACCCUCCAAGGCUAAAUACUACCUAGUGACCGAUAGCGUAUAGUACCGUGAGGGAAAGGUGAAAAGAACCCCGGGAGGGGAGUGAAAUAGAACCUGAAACCCUGCACUUACAAGCUGUGGAAGCACAUUUCUUGUGUGACCGCGUACUUUUUGUAGAACGGGCCAACGAGUUACGUUAAGUAGCAAGGUUAAGCACUUAAGGUGCGGAGCCGUAGCGAAAGCGAGUUUUAACUGAGCGUUCAGUUACUUGACGUAGACCCGAAACCGGGCGACCUACCCAUGAGCAGGAUGAAGCGAAAGUAAAAUUUCGUGGAGGUCCGAACCCACGAGCGUUGAAAAGCUCGGGGAUGACUUGUGGGUAGCGGUGAAAUUCCAAUCGAGCCCGGAGAUAGCUGGUUCUCCCCGAAAUAGCUUUAGGGCUAGCCUCAAGGUGAGAGAUACGGAGGUAGAGCACUGAAUGUCCUAGGGGGUAUUGCACCUACCGAAGACUAUCAAACUCCGAAUGCCGUCAUCUUAUACUUGGGAGUCAGACUGUGGGUGAUAAGAUUCAUAGUCGAAAGGGCAACAGCCCAGAUCGUCAGCUAAGGUCCCUAAAUGUAAGUUAAGUGGUAAAGGAUGUGGGAUUGCACAGACAACCAGGAUGUUGGCUUAGAAGCAGCCACUCAUUCAAAGAGUGCGUAAUAGCUCACUGGUCGAGUGAUCCUGCGCCGAAGAUUUCCGGGGCUAAAACUUACUACCGAAGCUACGGCAUCAGUAAUGAUGGGUAGGGGAGCUUCCCAUACGGGUUGAAGCAUGACCGUAAGGACAUGUGGACAGUAUGGGAGUGAGAAUGUUGGCAUGAGUAGCGAGAUGUGGGUGAGAAUCCCACAGGCCGUAAACCCAAGGUUUCCAGGGGAAGGUUCGUCCGCCCUGGGUUAGUCGGGACCUAAGCUGAGGCCGAAAGGCGUAGGUGAUGGACAACAGGUUGAUAUUCCUGUACUACCGAUAACCGUUUGAGAGAAGGGAUGACACAGUAGGAUAAGCUAAGCACACUGUUGGUUAUGUGUGCCCAAGCAUUGAGGCAGUCAAAGUAGGCAAAUCCGCUUUGAUAAUGCUGGGAUGUGAUGGGGAGCGAAAUUUAGUAGCGAA
rnacentral:rRNA from 1 species